rnacentral:tRNA from 1 species
UCCUGGUUAGUACAAUGGUCAGUAUAGGACACUCUCACGGGUCUUCUCCGCCUCCGAGGGCUGGAAGACGGUGCUGUUCAGAUCGGGGUUCGAUUCCCCGGCCGGGAA